rnacentral:rRNA from 1 species
GACGAACGCUGUAGGCAGGCCUAACACAUGCAAGUCGAGCGGAGCGGCGGACGGGUGAGUAAUACCUAGGAAUCUGCCUGGUAGUGGGGGAUACCGUUCGGAAACGGACGCUAAUACCGCAUACUAUCAGAUGAGCCUAGGUCGGAUUAGCUAGUUGGUGCGGUAAUGGCUCACCAAGGCUCCGAUCCGUAACUGGUCUGAGAGGAGGUUCAGUCACGUUGGAACGGAGACACGGGCCAGACUCCUACGGGAGGCAGCAGUGGGGAAUAUGGGACAAGGGGCGAAAGCCUGAUCCAGCCAUGCCGCGUGUGUGAAGAAGGUCUUCGGAUUGUAAAGCACUUUAAGUUGGGAGGCGUGACCGACAGAAUAAGCACCGGCUAACUCUGUGCCAGCAGCCGCGGUAAUUC